CGAGCGAGCGGGAAGAGCUCAAAUUUAUAAUCUGGCACCUUCGGUGUCCGAGUUGUAAUCUCUAGAAAUGUUUUCCGCGUUGGACCGCACACAAGUCUGUUGGAAUACAGCGGCAUAGUGGUGAGACCCCCGUAUAUGGUGCGGACGCCCAGCGCUUUGUGAUACAUUUUCGAAGAGUCGAGUUGUUUGGGAAUGCAGCUCAAAUUGGGUGGUAAAUUCCAUCUAAAGCUAAAUAUUGGCGAGAGACCGAUAGCGAACAAGUACCGUGAGGGAAAGAUGAAAAGCACUUUGGAAAGAGAGUUAACAGUACGUGAAAUUGUUGGAAGGGAAACGCUUGAAGUCAGACUUGCUUGCCGAGCAAUCGGUUUGCAGGCCAGCAUCAGUUUUCCGGGAUGGAUAAUGGUAGAGAGAAGGUAGCAGUUUCGGCUGUGUUAUAGCUCUCUGCUGGAUACAUCUUGGGGGACUGAGGAACGCAGUGUGCCUUUGGCGGGGGUUUCGACCUCUUCACACUUAGGAUGCUGGUGGAAUGGCUUUAAACGACCCGUCUUGAAACACGGACC
rnacentral:rRNA from 1 species